rnacentral:rRNA from 1 species
AUUGAACGCUGGCGGCAGGCCUAACACAUGCAAGUCGAACGAGUGGCGGACGGGUGAGGAAUGUCUGGGAAACUGCCCGAUGGAGGGGGAUAACUACUGGAAACGGUAGCUAAUACCGCAUACCAUCGGAUGUGCACAGAUGGGAUUAGCUUGUAGGUGAGGUAACGGCUAACCUAGGCGACGAUCCCUAGCUGGUCUGAGAGGAUGACCAGCAAAACUGGAACUGAGACACGGGCCAGACUACUACGGAGUGCAGAAGUGGGGAAUAUUGCACAAUGGUCGCAAGCCUGAUGCAGCCAUGCCGCGUGUAGGAAGAAGGCCUUCGGGUUGUAAAGUACUUUCAGCGGGGAGGCGUUACCCGAAGAGGAAGCACCGGCUAACUCCGUGCCAGCAGCCGCGGUAAUUC